UGUGCUAGAAUUCUUCUUUUGUUUUUGAAGGGUUUUUGAAGGGUAGCUGAAAACCAAGAAAAUAGCCAGAAAAAUCGCCGGAAGCUUGCUGAAAGUACAAGAGAUUUCAAGAAGGCUCAACCAGAGGAAAAAUUGAACUUGUUUAGUUCUCUACUUAAAAGUUACCAAGAAGAAGUUGACAAUCUCACGAAGAGGGCAAAGUUUGGAGAAAAUGCUUUUCUUAACAUCUAUCAGAAACUUUAUGAGGCUCCAGAUCCUUACCCUGCUCUUGCUUCAAUUGGUGAACAAGAUUUGAAGUUGUCUGAAUUAGAAUCUGAGAACAGGAAAAUGAAAGUUGAGCUUGAAGAGUUUAGAACAGAAGCAACUCAUUUAAAAAAUCAGCAGGCCACUAUUAGAAGACUUGAAGAGCGCAAUCGGCAAUUGGAGCAACAGGUUGU